rnacentral:rRNA from 1 species
UACCCAGGUUUGACAUGCACGGGAAACCCUCUUGAAAGAGGGGGCCUCCUUCGGGACCCGUGGACAGGUGCUGCAUGGCUGUCGUCAGCUCGUGUCGUGAGAUGUUGGGUUAAGUCCCGCAACGAGCGCAACCCUUGCCCCGUGUUGCUAACAGGUCAUGCUGAGGACUCUCGGGGGACUGCCGGCGUCAAGCCGGAGGAAGGUGGGGACGACGUCAAGUCAUCAUGGCCCUUACGCCUGGGGCUACACACGUGCUACAAUGGCCAGGACAGAGGGCUGCAAGACUGCAAAGUGGAGCGAAUCCCAUAAACCUGGUCCAAGUUCGGAUUGCGGGCUGCAACUCGCCCGCAUGAAGCCGGAAUCGCUAGUAAUCGCGGAUCAGCUACGCCGCGGUGAAUACGUUCCCGGGCCUUGUACUCACCGCCCGUCACGC